GAUGAACGCUGGUGGCGUGCCUAAUACAUGCAAGUCGAGCGAACAGACGAGGAGCUUGCUCCUCUGACGUUAGCGGCGGACGGGUGAGUAACACGUGGAUAACCUACCUAUAAGACUGGGAUAACUUCGGGAAACCGGAGCUAAUACCGGAUAAUAUAUUGAACCGCAUGGUUCAAUAGUGAAAGACGGUUUUGCUGUCACUUAUAGAUGGAUCCGCGCCGCAUUAGCUAGUUGGUAAGGUAACGGCUUACCAAGGCAACGAUGCGUAGCCGACCUGAGAGGGUGAUCGGCCACACUGGAACUGAGACACGGUCCAGACUCCUACGGGAGGCAGCAGUAGGGAAUCUUCCGCAAUGGGCGAAAGCCUGACGGAGCAACGCCGCGUGAAUGAUGAAGGUCUUCGGAUCGUAAAACUCUGUUAUUAGGGAAGAACAAAUGUGUAAGUAACUAUGCACGUCUUGACGGUACCUAAUCAGAAAGCCACGGCUAACUACGU
rnacentral:rRNA from 1 species